CUGAGAAGGAGGACAAGGCUUUCUACAAGAAGAUGUUGGAAUGAAAGUGGAGGUCCUGCCGAGUCUCAUGGUGAACAUCAAAGGCCUCAGGGCAAAACCAGGUGUCAGGCCAGUAUGAGACAGGAAAGACAAGGGAGAGACAGGGGAUGGCGUGCAGCAAAGGGCCCAGGCUGGAUUCGAAUCCGGGCCGCUGCGUGCAGACCUUUGACUUCAAAGCUCUUGUGCCUCACCUGGACGGCAGGAUGCCAGCCCGUCCAUCCAGAGACCAGCUCGCUUCUCCCUCCCAGAACUUGCUGAAGGCCGGUGACAACCAACCAACUCUGAGAGAAAGAAACCUUCUACAAGAAGCCUGCUCAACGUCUGUUUUCUAAUACAACAAAAGUUAGAACAGAAGAAACGGGGUGUGUGAUGAUUUGUCUGCAGGGAGAGUGAGACGGCCGACUCAAGCUGAAUUCGUCACGUGGGACUGACAAUGCCCAAAACUUCCCGAACUCCUGGGAGCUCCACAAGAAGGAAAGGAAAUCAGCUAGCCAAGCUGCUACGUGGGACUGAGCGGGCCACACAGGAGAACACAGAUCAUCCGCUGCCCUACCCUUCCAGCUCAACUUGUCCUCAGGCUAUCUAAACCACUAGGUGAAACUUAAUUUUUUUUCUGUGAUAUUUGAGUUUGAUGCUACAAAGUACUAAAAAGUAAUUUAGCGUUAGACCAGGAGUAAGAUCUCCCUUCAAUAUAAUCACGAUAUGGAAUCGUAAAAUAUUUCACAAGUGCUUCCCAAAACCUCUCAGCUGCUGAACAAUGCAUUAUGGUGAAUUUCACUGGUCAUCAUUAAAGUUGUAUCCACUGUCACAUGCUUCCACAAAUUAAGACAUCUUACCAUCAUUCUCCGCUUUAUCUGGUAUACACUGGUCCUCAUUCAGUUAUUAAUUGUUCAUCGCUGUAUUCAUAACAUUUACUCAUGGUUGCAUUUAUCCAUUCAUUUGUGUGUCUAGCAGUUAUGUGUGUGUUGUUAGUAGAGUAAUA